rnacentral:rRNA from 1 species
GACGAACCGUGCGAACGUUAUUCGGAAUCACUGGGCUUAAAGCGCGUGUAGGCGGGCCGGCACGUCGGACGUUGAAAUCCCCCGGCUCAACCGGGGAAGGGGCGCCGAUACGACCGGCCUGGAGGAACGUAGGGGGAGCUGGAACUUCCGGUGGAGCGGUGAAAUGCGUUGAGAUCGGAAGGAACGCCCGUGGCGAAAGCGAGCUCCUGGACGUUUUCUGACGCUGAGACGCGAAAGCCAGGGGAGCGAACGGG